rnacentral:rRNA from 1 species
CCUACGGUGGGCAGCAGUGGGGAAUCUUCCGCAAUGGGCGAAAGCCUGACGGAGCAACGCCGCGUGAUCGAAUGAAGGCCUGCGGGUUGUAAAGAUCUGUUGACAGGGACGAAGAAGCAAUGCGAAUAGUUUUGUGUAUGACGGUACCUGUUGAGAAAGCUCCGGCUAACUACGGGCCAGCAGCCGCGGUAAUACGUAGGGAGCAAGCGUUGUCCGGAAUUAAUGGGCGUCAAGGGCGCGUAGGUGGGCGCUUAAGUCAGGUGUGAAAACUCCGGGCUCAACCUGGAGACUGCACUUGAAACUGGGUGUCUUGAGGGCAGGUGCGGUAAGUGGCAUUCCUAGUGUCGCGGU